UGCUAUAUAAAUGUUCGGGAGUCUGCCUUCACGGAACUUGCUAUAUAAAUGUCCGGGGGUCUGCCUUCACGGAACUUGCUAUAUAAAUGUCCGGGGGUCUGCCUUCACGGAACUUGCUAUAUAAAUGUUCGGGGGUCUGCCUUCACGGAACUUGCUAUAUAAAUGUUCGGGAGUCUGCCUUCACGGAACUUGCUAUAUAAAUGUUCGGGAGUCUGCCUUCACGGAACUUGCUAUAUAUAUUUCUUAUGAAUACAUGGCUAAAAAUUAAAAUUUAACCAAGCAGUUUCACAAAAUAGUGAAAACAAUUGACAGAUGUAAGCUUGAGUGGUCGUUAUGACCAUUUGGUGCUAUAAGUACUUUUCCAAUAUCAUCUUUAUACGGAACAUUUGAUCUUUUUUAAUCAUAAGGUUUGAAAAACAAGUUUUUCAGGAACGUAAUAACUUAAACUAAUACUUAUUUGCUACUUUUCUUUCAGACAAUGACGAAAGCAGAUAUUUUAAAGACAGUCAGAUUACUACGCUAACUUAAUGUGAUAAGGCAUAUUGAAUAAUUUACAAAGUAUGGUGCUGCCGUACUACUUUUGUUAAUGAUAACGUUCACACUAGUAGGGCACUGGGUAGCUUGUGUGUUUGAUGCCAUUGCAUUCUGGGAGUGACAGCACUUGGGCAAAAGCCAUAGGACGGUUAGUGUCGCCACAAGUACCAAUGAAGCUUACGUUGUCAACGUCACAAAUAGUGAACCCAGCAUAGAGACGUAUUACAUCACAGCAUUUUACGUUUACGUUGCUGACGUCAAUAGGAUUAGGAAACGUGUCACCAAAUACUAACGCCGAGAAAAUAUUCUCAACAUUUGCUGUUCUGCUUGGUUCUCGACGAAGUGAGCGAUCUAACUGGCGCAGAAGAACGACUAGAGCGGGACCGCAGAUUGGAGAUGAGCCGUUAUUUAGCCUAUAGUGACAUAAAUACAGCGUUCAAAGACAAAUCAGUGAAAAUUUUCAGCUAUUACAACAAUGUCACAGUUCGUUUCCGGCGGAAGUAACAUAUCAUUCUGGGAAACAUUACACGGUGGAGCGCCCUCUACUAAUCGUCCACAUUCCUUGGAAGCUGAUGAUACAGUGCCACCUGUAAAAGUGAGACAAACGUCACAGUUAAACCUCGUAAAAUCGGCUGCAAACUAAACCAUCAGCAAGAUAUCACGUGAGCUGUGAGAUCGUGGUUAAGUUCACACCACGUGACAUUUGGUGCGCACUGCGCAAAGUUACAUCCGCAUUGUGUAAGGUGAAAGUGCUCAAUAGCAAACUAACAACACACAGAUCGAGCCUUUGCCCGGACACAGUCGCACAACGUCAGCCGAUACUAGUAAGUGAUGUCGUCUGCUUAUAGAACACAACGUAUGCCGAUACUAGUAAGUGAUGUCGUCUGUUUAUAGAACAAAACGUCAGUCGAUACAAGUAAGUGAUGUCGUCUGCUUAUAGAAUACAACGUCAGUCGAUACAAGUAAGUGAUGUCGUCUGCUUAUAGAACACAACGUCAGUCGAUACAAGUAAGUGAUGUCGUCUGCUUAUAGAACACAACGUCAGCCGUUACAAGUAAGUGAUGUCGUCUGCUUAAAUUAUAGAACACAACGUCAGCCGUUACAAGUAAGUGAUGUCGUCUGCUUAUAGAACAAAACGUUAGCCGUUACAAGUAAGUGAUGUCGUCCGUUUAUAGAACACAACGUCAGCCGAUGCUUAUAGAACACAACGUCAGCCGAUACUAGUAAGUGAUAUUGUCUGCUUAUAGAACACAGCGUCAGCCGAUACAAGUAAGUGAUGUCGUCUGCUUAUGGAACACAGCGUCAGCUGUUACAAGUAAGUGAUGUCGUCUGUUUAUAGAACACAACGUCAGCCGAUGCUUACAGAACACAACGUCAGCCGAUACUAGUAAGAUAUUUCUUGCCUACCUAGCGGGGAUAGUAUGCUUUUAUCUGAGCACGCGCCGGGGAUAGAUAUUCCUGUCUUUCCCUAGGGAAAAACCUUGUCUAAAAUAGCGUGCACUAGAAGACAACGUCAGCCGAUACAAGUAGGUGAUGCCGUCUGCUUUUAGAACACAACGUCAGCCGAUACAAGUAAGUGAUUUCUUGCCUACCUAGCGGGGAAAGUAUACAUUUAUCUGAGCACGCGCCGGGGAUAGAUAUUCCUGUCUUUCCCUAGGGAAGAACCUUGUCUAAAAUAGCGUGCACUAAGGUGACGUCACAUAGUACUGGUACCAUUGUGACGUCAUAAAUUUUAUAAAUAAUGUCAGGAAAUACCCAAACCUAUUUGUCUCUACGAUGAUAGGCAAGAAAAAUGAUCUAACAUGUCCGUCUGUGUAAGACAGCUGUUUUCCCUAACCUCGGGACAGCAUGGAUAAAAAACCUCGCUCACGCUCGAUUUUUCAUUCCACACUGUCCCUCGGGAAGGGAAAACCCCGUCUUACACAGGCAGGCAUGUACGAUCCUUAUAGUCGUCUGCUUAUAGAACACAGCGUCAGCUGAUACAAGUAAGUGAUGUCGUCUGCUCAUAGAACACAACAGCAGACACAUCAUCUUCAAAUUUUUGUUAAAAAGAAUUAGAUCUAUAUGUAAUUUCUUUCGUGGACGUAUAAUUUAGACAAAUAUAACUUUUCUUCAUAUAUCAUAUGAUAUCGAUUUACUAGUCUGUAUUCAGACCCUACUUUGUUGUUCAUAUGAGAUAACUCCUGAGGCUGUUCAAAUUUUGUAUGAUUAUGCCCCCUUUGUCUCAAUACAUAGGGAAGAGACAGAAGGAAUUUUGUUGAUAUUAUAGUAAAACGGAAAAGUUGAAAUUUAGAAAAAUAAAUUUUAGAAAUUUAAGAAAGUUAUAUCUAAACGAAUUGUUGAAGAAUAAUUCCGUUCAGAAACUUAAUGCCCAAAUACCAGACAAAAAUUCUGUAGGAUUAGAUUAAAUAUUUCAUAAUUAGUUGAUCUAAGUGACAUAGUUCUUUUUUUUAAAUUAGAUCUAUACCAUUUCACACAGUCUAUAUUCAUACCCUUUGUUUUGCAGAUAUGAGAGAAUCCGUGAACAAUUCAGAUUUAUGUAAUUAUCUCCCUUCUGUCCUCAAAAACUAUAAAGUAUAUUGGUGAAAACCUAGUCCAUGUAGUCUUCGUGGUAAAUUGAGCCGCGGCAAAUAAAGGGAGCUUAUCGUAGUUAUGUUAUCGAGAUAAAUGACGUCAAAAGUUUACCAGUACUUCUAAAAAUGGCGGCGCCCAUGUUUUAACAUGAUAGCGUGUAGAAAUGGUAUUAAAAUACUUUCAAGGUAAGUAAAAUGUAUUGUAUAUACAAGAAAUAUUUUUUUACUCAAGCGUGAUAAGCCUCAUGCCUCGUACACACUGGAUUCCCUGGCAUUAGCUUUUAAAAUGUCGUUUAACAACAAUAACAGUAAGUCGGAGUUCCAGUCUAUCGCGUCAGAGAUCUCUGUUGCCAUAGAAUGAAAUCUACAUCUAAGCUUUCUGUAUAAUGCACUCCUCUAUAGCUUUUAUCAAAGUCACCACAACAGUAGUACAUCAUCAUCUACAUCACAGAGGCACAUUUAAGUAGCUGUCAAAAUAAACAGUAAAUUUGAAAUCAUGUGACCGCAUUACAUUUUUCAAAGGACAAGUUUCACGAUCCAAUAACGUACCGCCGUAUUACGUUUAACCUUUCAGGUGUAGAUGAGCAUCGUGCACAUGGACCCGACUCAGUUAUAUCGAUGUAAGACCACGCAUUCAGCAGUUUUCAGCGGAAGAGGACGAAUGCAGGAUAAAUGCUGAUAAUUGUUCCGGUUAAAAUAAAAGCCGUUACGUUACGUACUUUGAUAUUACAGCUGGAGUGUUAUCACAAAUCACAUAUGUUCAUGAUGCAGCUACCUGAAAACACUAGGUGCCUGACUGACGCUGGAUUUUGUCGUAUUAAACAGUUAUACAGGAGAUUGGACGUUGAAACCAAGCAGCGGAAGUGGUAAACCAUUCAUCUCAUAGCAACGAGACUGUCAUAUAUGGCAGCAGUGGAAACAUUUCAUUGAGGAUAAGUUUUAAAAAAUCACAAUGUUUCCAAAUACCUGUAUCCGAGCGGCAGAUUCCGAUUCAACUCUGAUGAACCAGGUGUCAUGUUCGUUAGUGUCUACAGCAGAUUCCAAGGAAGUAAGAUUUGUAAUUGCAAGACAUAUCUCCUUAAAACGGGCCUAUAUGAUGUCCAACCGGAAGUCGCUCCCACAGGACUCGGCGCUGAAUGGCAGCAGUAUCUAUUUAGGCAUGUGCGUCUGUAAGCGCAACAGCUGUUGCAGGAAUGAUUUAAUCGGGUUCAGAUAAACUAAUAGUUAAGAAUAUAGUUUUUAUUAUGUUGAUAUAAACUAAAAUACUUCGUCCUGUACAUGUAUAUUAUAGGCUGUACAUAGAGAUGACAUAUGGAAUUGAUUAACGUAGCAUCGGCGCUUCGGAAUCGCGUUAAUGAAGCAAGUAAGUUUGGGAUUUGAUUUCUGUCUUUUUUGUAUCUUAUGAAAAAAGAAAACUGGUUGAGAAAACAAAAACGAGAUUAUUGUUUGUGGAAUUUUGGAGAAAUUAUGUGUAUUUCAUGCGCGGAUGAAUCCAGUUUUCUCAAAGGGGGUCUGACCGAACCCUCACUAUGACAAACAUGUGUCUCUAUGUGUACUACUAUGACUAAGUUGUGUCUCUUAUGUAUACACUAAGUAAUUUGAUAUGCCUUUUGUUGACGCUAGGAAAAGAGUACUACUUCCGGUCAAGUAAACAUGUCGGUAAUUUGCUGGUAGAAAAUGUAAAGUUUAGUUGGAUAGGUUUCAUAUUCCUGGAUAGGAAUAAUCAUGUUAAAGCUAUAAAGCAAUACAAUGAUUGGAUUCUAAAAUUCAUUGAUAGAAGGUAAAACUUGACAUUUUAUUGACAUUUCAUUGAUGAACAAAGGAUAUAUCGUUUCGCGCCAGAUCUAAAAUGACGAACAAAAGGAGACGCCAACGCAGUAAAUCUUCUCCUUCACAAAACAUUUGUAUAAAAACACAGAUCAGUAUUAGAAAGUGAUGUAGACAGUGACUGUAGUUUGUAUUUUGAUCUAGUUGAAGACUUAAUUAGUGAUAGUGAAGAUAAAAUCAUCCCCCAACAUCAUACACCCGCUACGUCCAAAAUGGGUCUAUCAGAUGAAGAUCUCAAAAAGUUGGCAACUUUGAUCAGCAAGGAAAUAAAACAAGACUUAAUCAAUGAAAUCAAGUCAAAAAUAAAAACAAUAGUGCACGCUGAAACGACUCAUUUAAGGGAGGAAAUAUCAAUGCUGAAAAAUGAAAUGUCCAGCUA